rnacentral:rRNA from 1 species
UUAAGCGACUAAGCGUACACGGUGGAUGCCCUGGCAGUCAGAGGCGAUGAAGGACGUGCUAAUCUGCGAUAAGCGUCGGUAAGGUGAUAUGAACCGUUAUAACCGGCGAUUUCCGAAUGGGGAAACCCAGUGUGAUUCGUCACACUAUCAUUAACUGAAUCCAUAGGUUAAUGAGGCGAACCGGGGGAACUGAAACAUCUAAGUACCCCGAGGAAAGAAAUCAACCGAGAUUCCCCCAGUAGCGGCGAGCGAACGGGGAGCAGCCCAGAGCCUGAAUCAGUGUGUGUGUUAGUGGAAGCGUCUGGAAAGGCGCGCGAUACAGGGUGACAGCCCCGUACACAAAAAUGCACAUAUUGUGAGCUCGAUGAGUAGGGCGGGACACGUGGUAUCCUGUCUGAAUAUGGGGGGACCAUCCUCCAAGGCUAAAUACUCCUGACUGACCGAUAGUGAACCAGUACCGUGAGGGAAAGGCGAAAAGAACCCCGGCGAGGGGAGUGAAAAAGAACCUGAAACCGUGUACGUACAAGCAGUGGGAGCACGCUUAGGCGUGUGACUGCGUACCUUUUGUAUAAUGGGUCAGCGACUUAUAUUCUGUAGCAAGGUUAACCGAAUAGGGGAGCCGAAGGGAAACCGAGUCUUAACUGGGCGUUAAGUUGCAGGGUAUAGACCCGAAACCCGGUGAUCUAGCCAUGGGCAGGUUGAAGGUUGGGUAACACUAACUGGAGGACCGAACCGACUAAUGUUGAAAAAUUAGCGGAUGACUUGUGGCUGGGGGUGAAAGGCCAAUCAAACCGGGAGAUAGCUGGUUCUCCCCGAAAGCUAUUUAGGUAGCGCCUCGUGAAUUCAUCUCCGGGGGUAGAGCACUGUUUCGGCAAGGGGGUCAUCCCGACUUACCAACCCGAUGCAAACUGCGAAUACCGGAGAAUGUUAUCACGGGAGACACACGGCGGGUGCUAACGUCCGUCGUGAAGAGGGAAACAACCCAGACCGCCAGCUAAGGUCCCAAAGUCAUGGUUAAGUGGGAAACGAUGUGGGAAGGCCCAGACAGCCAGGAUGUUGGCUUAGAAGCAGCCAUCAUUUAAAGAAAGCGUAAUAGCUCACCGGUCGAGUCGGCCUGCGCGGAAGAUGUAACGGGGCUAAACCAUGCACCGAAGCUGCGGCAGCGACGCUUAUGCGUUGUUGGGUAGGGGAGCGUUCUGUAAGCCUGCGAAGGUGUGCUGUGAGGCAUGCUGGAGGUAUCAGAAGUGCGAAUGCUGACAUAAGUAACGAUAAAGCGGGUGAAAAGCCCGCUCGCCGGAAGACCAAGGGUUCCUGUCCAACGUUAAUCGGGGCAGGGUGAGUCGACCCCUAAGGCGAGGCCGAAAGGCGUAGUCGAUGGGAAACAGGUUAAUAUUCCUGUACUUGGUGUUACUGCGAAGGGGGGACGGAGAAGGCUAUGUUGGCCGGGCGACGGUUGUCCCGGUUUAAGCGUGUAGGCUGGUUUUCCAGGCAAAUCCGGAAAAUCAAGGCUGAGGCGUGAUGACGAGGCACUACGGUGCUGAAGCAACAAAUGCCCUGCUUCCAGGAAAAGCCUCUAAGCAUCAGGUAACAUCAAAUCGUACCCCAAACCGACACAGGUGGUCAGGUAGAGAAUACCAAGGCGCUUGAGAGAACUCGGGUGAAGGAACUAGGCAAAAUGGUGCCGUAACUUCGGGAGAAGGCACGCUGAUAUGUAGGUGAAGUCCCUUGCGGAUGGAGCUGAAAUCAGUCGAAGAUACCAGCUGGCUGCAACUGUUUAUUAAAAACACAGCACUGUGCAAACACGAAAGUGGACGUAUACGGUGUGACGCCUGCCCGGUGCCGGAAGGUUAAUUGAUGGGGUCAGCGCAAGCGAAGCUCUUGAUCGAAGCCCCGGUAAACGGCGGCCGUAACUAUAACGGUCCUAAGGUAGCGAAAUUCCUUGUCGGGUAAGUUCCGACCUGCACGAAUGGCGUAAUGAUGGCCAGGCUGUCUCCACCCGAGACUCAGUGAAAUUGAACUCGCUGUGAAGAUGCAGUGUACCCGCGGCAAGACGGAAAGACCCCGUGAACCUUUACUAUAGCUUGACACUGAACAUUGAGCCUUGAUGUGUAGGAUAGGUGGGAGGCUUUGAAGUGUGGACGCCAGUCUGCAUGGAGCCGGCCUUGAAAUACCACCCUUUAAUGUUUGAUGUUCUAACGUGGACCCGUGAUCCGGGUUGCGGACAGUGUCUGGUGGGUAGUUUGACUGGGGCGGUCUCCUCCUAAAGAGUAACGGAGGAGCACGAAGGUUGGCUAAUCCUGGUCGGACAUCAGGAGGUUAGUGCAAUGGCAUAAGCCAGCUUGACUGCGAGCGUGACGGCGCGAGCAGGUGCGAAAGCAGGUCAUAGUGAUCCGGUGGUUCUGAAUGGAAGGGCCAUCGCUCAACGGAUAAAAGGUACUCCGGGGAUAACAGGCUGAUACCGCCCAAGAGUUCAUAUCGACGGCGGUGUUUGGCACCUCGAUGUCGGCUCAUCACAUCCUGGGGCUGAAGUAGGUCCCAAGGGUAUGGCUGUUCGCCAUUUAAAGUGGUACGCGAGCUGGGUUUAGAACGUCGUGAGACAGUUCGGUCCCUAUCUGCCGUGGGCGCUGGAGAACUGAGGGGGGCUGCUCCUAGUACGAGAGGACCGGAGUGGACGCAUCACUGGUGUUCGGGUUGUCAUGCCAAUGGCACUGCCCGGUAGCUAAAUGCGGAAGAGAUAAGUGCUGAAAGCAUCUAAGCACGAAACUUGCCCCGAGAUGAGUUCUCCCUGACCCUUUAAGGGUCCUGAAGGAACGUUGAAGACGACGACGUUGAUAGGCCGGGUGUGUAAGCGCAGCGAUGCGUUGAGCUAACCGGUACUAAUGAACCGUGAGGCUUAACCUU